UUCUACUCUCAGAGGCUUUUGAGGGUCUACCACUAGCCAGGCCAGGGGACGGACGGACAGACGGGGUCAGCUUUGAGAAGACCUCAGAGACGGAAAUAUUUCUCAGGAAAUGUCAAACUGGAAUAUCUACAUUAUAUCUACACAUGAAAUAAUAAAUCAAGUUCAGGUUUUUCCCAUGUGACCAAAAAAGAAAAAAAAGAAAAGAAACAAUAAAAUGGGUUUAGAAUAUUG
rnacentral:lncRNA from 1 species